GACGAACGCUGGCGGCGUGCUUAACACAUGCAAGUCGAACGGAAAGGCCCUGCUUUUGUGGGGUGCUCGAGUGGCGAACGGGUGAGUAACACGUGAGUAACCUGCCCUUGACUUUGGGAUAACUUCAGGAAACUGGGGCUAAUACCGGAUAGGAGCUCCUGCUGCAUGGUGGGGGUUGGAAAGUUUCGGCGGUUGGGGAUGGACUCGCGGCUUAUCAGCUUGUUGGUGGGGUAGCGGCUUACCAAGGCUUUGACGGGUAGCCGGCCUGAGAGGGUGACCGGCCAAAUUGGGACUGAAAUACGGCCCAGACUCCUACGGGAGGCAGCAGUGGGGAAUAUUGCACAAUGGGCGGAAGCCUGAUGCAGCAACGCCGCGUGCGGGAUGACGGCCUUCGGGUUGUAAACCGCUUUCGCCUGUGACGAAGCGUGAGUGACGGUAAUGGGUAAAGAAGCACCGGCUAACUACGUG
rnacentral:rRNA from 1 species